rnacentral:rRNA from 1 species
GACGAACGCUGGCGGCGUGCUUAACACAUGCAAGUCGAACGGAAAGGCCCUGCUUUUGUGGGGUGCUCGAGUGGCGAACGGGUGAGUAACACGUGAGUAACCUGCCCUUGACUUUGGGAUAACUUCAGGAAACUGGGGCUAAUACCGGAUAGGAGCUCCUGCUGCAUGGUGGGGGUUGGAAAGUUUCGGCGGUUGGGGAUGGACUCGCGGCUUAUCAGCUUGUUGGUGGGGUAGUGGCUUACCAAGGCUUUGACGGGUAGCCGGCCUGAGAGGGUGACCGGCCACAUUGGGACUGAGAUACGGCCCAGACUCCUACGGGAGGCAGCAGUGGGGAAUACUGCACAAUGGGCGGAAGCCUGAUGCAGCAACGCCGCGUGCGGGAUGACGGCCUUCGGGUUGUAAACCGCUUUCGCCUGUGACGAAGCGUGAGUGACGGUAAUGGGUAAAGAAGCACCGGCUAACUACGUGCCAGCAGCCGCGGUGAUACGUAGGGUGCGAGCGUUGUCCGGAUUUAUUGGGCGUAAAGGGCUCGUAGGUGGUUGAUCGCGUCGGAAGUGUAAUCUUGGGGCUUAACCCUGAGCGUGCUUUCGAUACGGGUUGACUUGAGGAAGGUAGGGGAGAAUGGAAUUCCUGGUGGAGCGGUGGAAUGCGCAGAUAUCAGGAGGAACACCAGUGGCGAAGGCGGUUCUCUGGGCCUUUCCUGACGCUGAGGAGCGAAAGCGUGGGGAGCGAACAGGCUUAGAUACCCUGGUAGUCCACGCUGUAAACGGUGGGUACUAGGUGUGGGGUCCAUUCCACGGGUUCCGUGCCGUAGCUAACGCUUUAAGUACCCCGCCUGGGGAGUACGGCCGCAAGGCUAAAACUCAAAGGAAUUGACGGGGCCCCGCACAAGCGGCGGAGCAUGCGGAUUAAUUCGAUGCAACGCGUAGAACCUUACCUGGGUUUGACAUGGAUCGGGAGCGCUCAGAGAUGGGUGUGCCUCUUUUGGGGUCGGUUCACAGGUGGUGCAUGGCUGUCGUCAGCUCGUGUCGUGAGAUGUUGGGUUAAGUCCCGCAACGAGCGCAACCCUUGUUCACUGUCGCCAGCACGUUAUGGUGGGGACUCAGUGGAGACCGCCGGGGUCAACUCGGAGGAAGGUGGGGAUGACGUCAAGUCAUCAUGCCCCUUAUGUCCAGGGCUUCACGCAUGCUACAAUGGCUGGUACAGAGAGUGGCGAGCCUGUGAGGGUGAGCGAAUCUCGGAAAGCCGGUCUCAGUUCGGAUUGGGGUCUGCAACUCGACCUCAUGAAGUCGGAGUCGCUAGUAAUCGCAGAUCAGCAACGCUGCGGUGAAUACGUUCCCGGG